GAUGAACGCUGGCGGCGUGCCUAAUACAUGCAAGUCGAGCGAACGGACGAGAAGCUUGCUUCUCUGAUGUUAGCGGCGGAGGGGUGAGUAACACGUGGAUAACCUACCUAUAAGACUGGGAUAACUUCGGGAAACCGGCGCUAAUACCGGAUGAUAUUUUGAACCGCAUGGUUCAAAAGUGAAAGACGGUCUUGCUGUCAGUUAUAGAUGGAUCCGCGCUGCAUUAGCUAGUUGGUAGGGUCACGGCUUACCAAGGCAACACUUACUAGCCGACGUGAGAGAGUGAUCGACCACACUGGAGCUGAGACAGAGUCCAGACUCCUACGGGAUGCACCAGUGUAGCAUCUUCCACAAUGGUCAGAAGCCUUACGCACCAACGCCACGUGAGUGAUGAAGGUCUUCUGAUCGUAAAGCUCUGUUAUUGGGGAAAAACCUAUGUGUAAGUAACUGUACACAUCUUAACGGUACCUAAUCAGAAAGCCACGGCUAACUACGUG
rnacentral:rRNA from 1 species